rnacentral:rRNA from 1 species
UACGUAGGGUGCAAGCGUUAAUCGGAAUUACUGGGCGUAAAGCGUGCGCAGGCGGUUUUGUAAGUCUGUCGUGAAAGCCCCCGGCUCAACUGGGGAGGGUCACGCGAUACUGAUCGACUCGAAGGCAGGAGGGGGUAGUGGAAUUCCCGGUGUAGUGGUGAAAUGCGUAGAUAUCGGGAGGAACACCAGUGGCGAAGGCGACUACCUGGCCUGUUUCUUGACGCUGAGGCGCGAAAGCUAGGGGAGCAAACGGG